AAGUCGUAACAAGGUUUCCGUAGGUGAACCUGCGGAAGGAUCAAUACAGAGAGGGUGUGGGAGAUACGUUGAAAUACUAGAAAGAAACAAUUGACAACAUUAUACACACACACACAUUUUACAACUCAUAACAAUGGAUCUCUGGGCUCUU
rnacentral:misc_RNA from 1 species